rnacentral:misc_RNA from 1 species
AAGUCGUAACAAGGUCUCCGUAGGUGAACCUGCGGAGGGAUCAUUAACACUUUUCUUUUGAGAGAGGAAACUCUUUCUACCCACUCGUGAACUAACUUAUGCCCCCCGAUUGGUCUAUAUUGAAAUACUAUAUAGGCUGGUCAACUAUUUUUUUUCUAUUAUUUUUCUAAAACCUCUAUCCAACCGCUAAAGCUAUAAACAGACAGUAUUGUGAAAUGAGCAAUCUGCUCAUUUUCGCACAUACAGUGAUAUAGUAACAAUUAAAGCACAACUCUUAGCAACGGAUAUCUCGGUUCUC